UACAGAGGGUGCAAGCGUUGUUCGGAAUUAUUGGGCGUAAAGCGCGUGUAGGCGGCCUAGCAAGUCGGGUGUGAAAUCCCCAGGCUUAACCUGGGAACUGCAUUCGAGACUGCAUUGCUAGAGUAUGGGAGAGGGAAGUGGAAUUUCCGGUGUAGCGGUGAAAUGCGUAGAUAUCGGAAGGAACAUCAGUGGCGAAAGCGACUUCCUGGACCAAUACUGACGCUCAUGUGCGAAAGCGUGGGGAGCAAACAGG
rnacentral:rRNA from 1 species